CGAUAAGCGCCGGUAAGGUGAUAUGAACCGUUAUAACCGGCGAUACCCGAAUGGGGAAACCCAGUGUGAUUCGUCACACUAUCAUUAACUGAAUCCAUAGGUUAAUGAGGCGAACCGGGGGAACUGAAACAUCUAAGUACCCCGAGGAAAAGAAAUCAACCGAGAUUCCCCCAGUAGCGGCGAGCGAACGGGGAGGAGCCCAGAGCCUGAAUCAGCAUGUGUGUUAGUGGAAGCGUCUGGAAAGGCGCGCGAUACAGGGUGACAGCCCCGUACACAAAAGCGCAUGUGCUGUGAGCUCGAUGAGUAGGGCGGGACACGUGGUAUCCUGUCUGAAUAUGGGGGGACCAUCCUCCAAGGCUAAAUACUCCUGACUGACCGAUAGUGAACCAGUACCGUGAGGGAAAGGCGAAAAGAACCCCGGCGAGGGGAGUGAAAAAGAACCUGAAACCGUGUACGUACAAGCAGUGGGAGCACAGGUUUACCUGUGUGACUGCGUACCUUUUGUAUAAUGGGUCAGCGACUUAUAUUCUGUAGCAAGGUUAACCGAAUAGGGGAGCCGGAGGGAAACCGAGUCUUAAUUGGGCGUUAAGUUGCAGGGUAUAGACCCGAAACCCGGUGAUCUAGCCAUGGGCAGGUUGAAGGUUGGGUAACACUAACUGGAGGACCGAACCGACUAAUGUUGAAAAAUUAGCGGAUGACCUGUGGCUGGGGGUGAAAGGCCAAUCAAACCGGGAGAUAGCUGGUUCUCCCCGAAAGCUAUUUAGGUAGCGCCUCGUGAAUUCAUCUCCGGGGGUAGAGCACUGUUUCGGCUAGGGGGCCAUCCCGGCUUACCAACCCGAUGCAAACUGCGAAUACCGGAGAAUGUUAUCACGGGAGACACACGGCGGGUGCUAACGUCCGUCGUGAAGAGGGAAACAACCCAGACCGCCAGCUAAGGUCCCAAAGUCAUGGUUAAGUGGGAAACGAUGUGGGAAGGCCCAGACAGCCAGGAUGUUGGCUUAGAAGCAGCCAUCAUUUAAAGAAAGCGUAAUAGCUCACUGGUCGAGUCGGCCUGCGCGGAAGAUGUAACGGGGCUAAACCAUGCACCGAAGCUGCGGCAGCGACACUGUGUGUUGUUGGGUAGGGGAGCGUUCUGUAAGCCUGUGAAGGUGUGUCGUGAGGCAUGCUGGAGGUAUCAGAAGUGCGAAUGCUGACAUAAGUAACGAUAAAGCGGGUGAAAAGCCCGCUCGCCGGAAGACCAAGGGUUCCUGUCCAACGUUAAUCGGGGCAGGGUGAGUCGACCCCUAAGGCGAGGCCGAAAGGCGUAGUCGAUGGGAAACGGGUUAAUAUUCCCGUACUUGGUGUUACUGCGAAGGGGGGACGGAGAAGGCUAUGUUGGCCGGGCGACGGUUGUCCCGGUUUAAGCGUGUAGGUGUGUGUUCCAGGUAAAUCCGGUUCACUUUAACACUGAGGCGUGACGACGAGGCACUACGGUGCUGAAGCAACAAAUGCCCUGCUUCCAGGAAAAGCCUCUAAGCAUCAGGUAACAUCAAAUCGUACCCCAAACCGACACAGGUGGUCAGGUAGAGAAUACCAAGGCGCUUGAGAGAACUCGGGUGAAGGAACUAGGCAAAAUGGUGCCGUAACUUCGGGAGAAGGCACGCUGACACGUAGGUGAAGUGAUUUACUCAUGGAGCUGAAGUCAGUCGAAGAUACCAGCUGGCUGCAACUGUUUAUUAAAAACACAGCACUGUGCAAACACGAAAGUGGACGUAUACGGUGUGACGCCUGCCCGGUGCCGGAAGGUUAAUUGAUGGGGUCAGCGCAAGCGAAGCUCCUGAUCGAAGCCCCGGUAAACGGCGGCCGUAACUAUAACGGUCCUAAGGUAGCGAAAUUCCUUGUCGGGUAAGUUCCGACCUGCACGAAUGGCGUAAUGAUGGCCAGGCUGUCUCCACCCGAGACUCAGUGAAAUUGAACUCGCUGUGAAGAUGCAGUGUACCCGCGGCAAGACGGAAAGACCCCGUGAACCUUUACUAUAGCUUGACACUGAACAUUGAGCCUUGAUGUGUAGGAUAGGUGGGAGGCUUUGAAGUGUGGACGCCAGUCUGCAUGGAGCCGACCUUGAAAUACCACCCUUUAAUGUUUGAUGUUCUAACGUGGACCCGUUACCCGGGUUGCGGACAGUGUCUGGUGGGUAGUUUGACUGGGGCGGUCUCCUCCUAAAGAGUAACGGAGGAGCACGAAGGUUGGCUAAUCCUGGUCGGACAUCAGGAGGUUAGUGCAAUGGCAUAAGCCAGCUUGACUGCGAGCGUGACGGCGCGAGCAGGUGCGAAAGCAGGUCAUAGUGAUCCGGUGGUUCUGAAUGGAAGGGCCAUCGCUCAACGGAUAAAAGGUACUCCGGGGAUAACAGGCUGAUACCGCCCAAGAGUUCAUAUCGACGGCGGUGUUUGGCACCUCGAUGUCGGCUCAUCACAUCCUGGGGCUGAAGUAGGUCCCAAGGGUAUGGCUGUUCGCCAUUUAAAGUGGUACGCGAGCUGGGUUUAGAACGUCGUGAGACAGUUCGGUCCCUAUCUGCCGUGGGCGCUGGAGAACUGAGGGGGGCUGCUCCUAGUACGAGAGGACCGGAGUGGACGCAUCACUGGUGUUCGGGUUGUCAUGCCAAUGGCACUGCCCGGUAGCUAAAUGCGGAAGAGAUAAGUGCUGAAAGCAUCUAAGCACGAAACUUGCCCCGAG
rnacentral:rRNA from 1 species